ensembl:lncRNA
UUUCACCAGGCAAAUGAGUCAAACACAAGUUCCAUGGGCUGCUGGUCCUGAAGGUGGUGAAGGAAUGGGGAGGCUGUACAUGGGGGAGAGGUGAUGAGAGUCGAGCUAAAUUGAUUGAAAAUCUACAACUGUCAACUUACCUGAUCGUCAGACCAGUCCUUAGGUAGUUCCAUUUUCAGCUGCGGAAAAGGAACCUCAGAGGGAUUAAGUAGUGUGCCCAGCUUCACACAGUUGGGAAGUGGUUACAAAAUUCUUCUGAUCGCAUUCAGUAUCCUUUGGCCUUCAGUCACACUGGCUGCAGUAGGACAUGCAUCAGCAGGCUUGGUCAGGCCCACAAGUGAGGAGUCCACUGCGUUCAGCCCAGGCUUCUUCAGAGCCGUGUGGACUUGAGCACUUACCCAUCCUUGCCUGGAUGGAUAAACUUACAAACUCUUCGCAAGUUUCCAUGAGGAGAAGCUCACAGUGCACAUAGUAGGUCUCAGAACAUGUGUCUGGGGCCCUGCCAACCCAUCUGUUGAACUUCUGCCACCACUUCCCAGGUGACAACGCAGGCUGCACUUGUCCAAAGCUUGAGCUUUGGGGAGUCUUUUCUCACAGCCAGCAGAACUCUCUCUCUGGGGGCCCCUUCCUGCUGGUGCUGGUCAUAUCCCAGGGGCCAUACAGAUGAACUGGAGAAGGAAAUGGCAAUCCACUCCAGUAUUCUUGCCUGGAGAAUCCCAUGGGCAGAGGAGCCUGGCAGGCUACAGUCCAUGGGGUCACAAGAGUCGGACACGACUUAGCAACUAAACCGCAAUCACCACCACACAGAUGAAUGCCCCUUCUUCCUCUGGCAGUCUGUGCCUCUUCUCCAGGGAGCAUACUCUCAGUGCCAGCUACCUAAGAGGUCUGCAGAAUGUGGUUUGCAUUCAUCUCCUUGUCCCAGACAUCUCUUUGCAUUGGCUCCCUUUUGUCCAGGUCCCUCGUCAGAGUCAGACAAGAGCCAAACCCUGUUCUCCAAGCAUGGCAUGAUGGGAGGGGAGAAAACAGGUUCUCCCAGAUUUGGAUCUCCUGUUGAGGACCACAGAGGAUGUCAUGGUGGCCUCAUCACCCUGUUGCUGGUGUGAGGGUGUGUGGGUGCGUGCAUGUGAUGAACAAAGAGUUUGGGAAGGGCUGACCACCUUGUCCUCUGCCUGGCCCACAGUCUGGUAUCCCAGUCCCCCUGCUACUGUGAUUGGUUCCAGGAGGAGCACGUGACCUCAGUCAACCCAAUGGGAGUCAGCUUUGGAACUUCAGCCAUACAGACUGGGAAAGUGGCUCUCCGUUGGUUGCCAUCCUCGCUGCAGCAUGGACAUGGUCAGCUGAGAAGGAAGCUCACACAGAAGGAAACAGUCGAGGGAAGGAGAGAAAAUCCGAUGCCAUGAUCAAGUCCCUCAUCUGGCUAUACCAAAGCCAAAUAUACAUCUCGAACCUCCCAAUUAUCUCCUCACUUCACCAGAACAGAAUGGCCUCCCCAAGCCAGAGCUUCCCUGCCAGGGUGGCUGGUCACACCAGCUGUGCCAAAAGUGAGCUAUACCUGUGUGAUGCACUGGGCCCACCAGCUCUCUGAGUGUCAGAGGGAGGCUCUGCGUGGCCAGAGCACACCUAUUCCCAAGCAUUUACCCCAGCUUACCAUGCACAAAUGAUCACUUCCUGUGGGCCAUGACUCUUGACUGCGGAGACGGUUUGGAACGGCCUAAGAAGUGGCUGUUUCCCGGGAUGAAGCGGUGAGAUCUGGAGACCGGGAGAGCUCUCAGAAGAUCAUGCCUUGCCCAUGACUUUUCACCACCCCACCUGCAUUGUGCAACUUUCUCUUCUGAACCAGAUGCGGAAGGGUCACAGCUCCUGUGCAUCAGGAGAGCAAGAAGGGGCCCUUCUUCUUAACCCAGGGCUGGACUGGGUGCCUGGGCUAGUGUAUCAGAAUGUGCCUUACCCUGGGACUCUGAUGAGUGUGAAGUAUCAAGGCAUUCAAAGGCUCUUUUUUUCAAAUUGAAGUAUAGUUGAUUCGUAGUGUUGUGUUAGUUUCAGUUAUACAGCAAAGUGAUUCAGUUAUACAUGGACAUAUGUAUAUGCUUUUUCAGAUUCUUUUCCAAUAUAGGAAAGAUAUUGAAUAUACUACAAGAUAUUGAAUACAGUUCCCGCUGCUAUACAGAACAUUCUUGUUGUUUAACUAUUUUAUAUACAGUAGUAGUAUGUGUCUGUGAUUUUGAAGUGUAGAGCUGGAGAAGACUUGAGAGUCCCUUGGACAGCAAGGAGAUCAAAUCAGUCAAUCCUAAAGGAAAUUCACCCUGAAUAUUCAUUGGAAGGACUAAUACUGAAGGUGAAGCUCCAAUACCUUGGCCACCUGAUAUGAACAGCUGACACAUUGGAAAAGACCCUGACGCUGGGAAAGGUUGAGGAGAAAGGCAAGAGGAGAAGGGAGCGAUGGAUGAUGAAAUGGUUAGAUGGCAUCACUGACUCAAUGGACAUGAAUUUGAGCAAACUUUGGGAGGGAGUGGAGGACAGAGGAGCCUGGCAUGCUGCAGUCCAUGGAAUCGCAGAGUGGGACACGACUUAGUGACUGGACAACAACAGAGGCUCCUACCUGCACUGAACUGGUAUGAAAGGAACCAAAAAGCUAUUUCCCCACACUGUUUUGGAGCUUCCCUGGUGGCUCACUGGUAAAGAAUCCACCUACAACGCAGGAGAUUCAGGAGACUGGGAUUUGAUCCCUGAGUCAGGAAGAUUCCCUGGAGGAGGGCAUUGCAACCCCCUCCAGUAUUCUUGCCUGGAAAAUCCCAUGGACAGAGGAGCCUGGCGGGCUAUAGUCUGUGAGGUUGCUGGGCAGGAAAUUCAGAACAAAAGACCACUGGACAAUAGCUCCAUUGCCAAGCAACCCAGGCCACAGGUGGCUCAGAUGGUACAGCGUCUGCCUGCAAUGCAGGAGACCCAGGGUCAGGAGUGAGGGUAGGCGUGUGGGCUGUAGCGGAGACCCAGGUCCCUGCAGUUCCUUUCCCCCUCCUGCACUCCUGUCUGGUUACCUGAAUCACCCUUAGGAAUGCUUUUUUCUGGCAGUGGAGGUAUGUGGGCAGGUGGGCUGUGCAACUCCUUCCUUAGGGGCCCAUCCUCCUGGGGAGCCAGUGACUCUGUCUCCCCUUCCCAUCACUCAGACCUCCUGCACGUUGUCCUCACCUCACCCCAUCUGGGUCCUCUCUCAGUCUCUGGGUGUGUCCCUGGAGUGUCAGGCUCUGGGGACUGGUCACUAUCUUCUUUCCUGAAGGGCAGGUAUCUCAUUCUUUCUGACCAUGGACCCUGAAGUGCUCUGGACUUGUAGCCUACAUCCUCUUGGGAGAGGAGAAGGGUGUGUUUCUGGAGGUCUUCAUGUGAGAGCAGAGCCAAGGCCAAGAGCUCAGCCCUGGCUGCUGCAAGGAAGCUGGUGGGCUUCCCUGGUCGCUCAGCGGUAAAGAAUCCACCUGCCAGUGCAAGAGACACGGGUUCAAGCCCUGGUCGGGGAAGGUCCCACAUGCCUCGGAUCAACUGAGCCCGUGUGCCGCGGCUGUUGAGGCUGCACUCUAGAAGCAGAGAGCUGCAGCUACUGAGCCCACAGGCCACAACUGCUGAAGCCCGUGGCUCCCAGAGGCUGUGCUCUGCAACCAGAGAAACCACUGCAACGAGAAGCCCGCACACCGCAACUGGAGAAGCCCCUGCUCGCCGUAACUUGAGAAAAGUCCACAAAGCAAUGAAGACCCAGU